rnacentral:rRNA from 1 species
UUAAGCGACUAAGCGUACACGGUGGAUGCCCUGGCAGUCAGAGGCGAUGAAGGACGUGCUAAUCUGCGAUAAGCGUCGGUGAGGUGAUAUGAACCGUUAUAACCGGCGAUUUCCGAAUGGGGAAACCCAGUGUGUUUCGACACACUAUCAUUAACUGAAUCCAUAGGUUAAUGAGGCGAACCGGGGGAACUGAAACAUCUAAGUACCCCGAGGAAAAGAAAUCAACCGAGAUUCCCCCAGUAGCGGCGAGCGAACGGGGAGGAGCCCAGAGCCUGAAUCAGUGUGUGUGUUAGUGGAAGCGUCUGGAAAGGCGCGCGAUACAGGGUGACAGCCCCGUACACAAAAAUGCACAUGCUGUGAGCUCGAUGAGUAGGGCGGGACACGUGGUAUCCUGUCUGAAUAUGGGGGGACCAUCCUCCAAGGCUAAAUACUCCUGACUGACCGAUAGUGAACCAGUACCGUGAGGGAAAGGCGAAAAGAACCCCGGCGAGGGGAGUGAAAAAGAACCUGAAACCGUGUACGUACAAGCAGUGGGAGCCUCUUAAUGGGGUGACUGCGUACCUUUUGUAUAAUGGGUCAGCGACUUAUAUUCUGUAGCAAGGUUAACCGAAUAGGGGAGCCGAAGGGAAACCGAGUCUUAACUGGGCGUUAAGUUGCAGGGUAUAGACCCGAAACCCGGUGAUCUAGCCAUGGGCAGGUUGAAGGUUGGGUAACACUAACUGGAGGACCGAACCGACUAAUGUUGAAAAAUUAGCGGAUGACUUGUGGCUGGGGGUGAAAGGCCAAUCAAACCGGGAGAUAGCUGGUUCUCCCCGAAAGCUAUUUAGGUAGCGCCUCGUGAAUUCAUCUCCGGGGGUAGAGCACUGUUUCGGCAAGGGGGUCAUCCCGACUUACCAACCCGAUGCAAACUGCGAAUACCGGAGAAUGUUAUCACGGGAGACACACGGCGGGUGCUAACGUCCGUCGUGAAGAGGGAAACAACCCAGACCGCCAGCUAAGGUCCCAAAGUCAUGGUUAAGUGGGAAACGAUGUGGGAAGGCCCAGACAGCCAGGAUGUUGGCUUAGAAGCAGCCAUCAUUUAAAGAAAGCGUAAUAGCUCACUGGUCGAGUCGGCCUGCGCGGAAGAUGUAACGGGGCUAAACCAUGCACCGAAGCUGCGGCAGCGACACUAUGUGUUGUUGGGUAGGGGAGCGUUCUGUAAGCCUGUGAAGGUGGCCUGUGAGGGUUGCUGGAGGUAUCAGAAGUGCGAAUGCUGACAUAAGUAACGAUAAAGCGGGUGAAAAGCCCGCUCGCCGGAAGACCAAGGGUUCCUGUCCAACGUUAAUCGGGGCAGGGUGAGUCGACCCCUAAGGCGAGGCCGAAAGGCGUAGUCGAUGGGAAACAGGUUAAUAUUCCUGUACUUGGUGUUACUGCGAAGGGGGGACGGAGAAGGCUAUGUUGGCCGGGCGACGGUUGUCCCGGUUUAAGCGUGUAGGCUGGUUUUCCAGGCAAAUCCGGAAAACCAAGGCUGAGGCGUGAUGACGAGGCACUACGGUGCUGAAGUGACAAAUGCCCUGCUUCCAGGAAAAGCCUCUAAGCAUCAGGUAACAUCAAAUCGUACCCCAAACCGACACAGGUGGUCAGGUAGAGAAUACCAAGGCGCUUGAGAGAACUCGGGUGAAGGAACUAGGCAAAAUGGUGCCGUAACUUCGGGAGAAGGCACGCUGAUAUGUAGGUGAAGCGACUUGCUCGUGGAGCUGAAAUCAGUCGAAGAUACCAGCUGGCUGCAACUGUUUAUUAAAAACACAGCACUGUGCAAACACGAAAGUGGACGUAUACGGUGUGACGCCUGCCCGGUGCCGGAAGGUUAAUUGAUGGGGUUAGCGGUAACGCGAAGCUCUUGAUCGAAGCCCCGGUAAACGGCGGCCGUAACUAUAACGGUCCUAAGGUAGCGAAAUUCCUUGUCGGGUAAGUUCCGACCUGCACGAAUGGCGUAAUGAUGGCCAGGCUGUCUCCACCCGAGACUCAGUGAAAUUGAACUCGCUGUGAAGAUGCAGUGUACCCGCGGCAAGACGGAAAGACCCCGUGAACCUUUACUAUAGCUUGACACUGAACAUUGAGCCUUGAUGUGUAGGAUAGGUGGGAGGCUUUGAAGUGUGGACGCCAGUCUGCAUGGAGCCGACCUUGAAAUACCACCCUUUAAUGUUUGAUGUUCUAACGUUGGCCCCUAAUCGGGGUUGCGGACAGUGUCUGGUGGGUAGUUUGACUGGGGCGGUCUCCUCCUAAAGAGUAACGGAGGAGCACGAAGGUUGGCUAAUCCUGGUCGGACAUCAGGAGGUUAGUGCAAUGGCAUAAGCCAGCUUGACUGCGAGCGUGACGGCGCGAGCAGGUGCGAAAGCAGGUCAUAGUGAUCCGGUGGUUCUGAAUGGAAGGGCCAUCGCUCAACGGAUAAAAGGUACUCCGGGGAUAACAGGCUGAUACCGCCCAAGAGUUCAUAUCGACGGCGGUGUUUGGCACCUCGAUGUCGGCUCAUCACAUCCUGGGGCUGAAGUAGGUCCCAAGGGUAUGGCUGUUCGCCAUUUAAAGUGGUACGCGAGCUGGGUUUAGAACGUCGUGAGACAGUUCGGUCCCUAUCUGCCGUGGGCGCUGGAGAACUGAGGGGGGCUGCUCCUAG